GGGGAAUAUUGCACAAUGGGCGAAAGCCUGAUGCAGCAACGCCGCGUGAGUGAUGAAGGUUUUCGGAUCGUAAAGCUCUGUUGCCAGGGAAGAACGUCCUUAAGAGUAACUGCUUAAGGAGUGACGGUACCUGAGAAGAAAGCCCCGGCUAACUACGUGCCAGCAGCCGCGGUAAUACGUAGGGGGCAAGCGUUGUCCGGAAUUAUUGGGCGUAAAGCGCGCGCAGGCGGCUGUUUAAGUCUGGUGGUUAAUCCUGGGGCUCAACCCCGGGUCGCACUGGAAACUGGGCAGCUUGAGUGCAGAAGAGGAGAGUGGAAUUCCACGUGUAGCGGUGAAAUGCGUAGAGAUGUGGAGGAACACCAGUGGCGAAGGCGACUCUCUGGGCUGUAACUGACGCUGAGGCGCGAAAGCGUGGGGAGCAAAC
rnacentral:rRNA from 1 species